UAGUGGAUAGGAUUCUUGGUAUAUAUAUUAGGUUAGGGGUGUAAACGAGCCGAACACGAGUGAGCUGGGGUCGGCUCGUUUAUUAAUCGAGCCGAACACGAGCUGGCUUGUUAAAAUAUCGAGCCGAAAAAUUCUGCUCAUGUUCGGCUUGUUUAUUAACGCGCUGAACAUGAGCUGGCUCACGAGCUGGCCAACAAAUAAUAAAUUAAAAGGAAUUAUAGAUUAAAUAUAUAUAAAAAAUAAAUUUAUAAAAUUUUAUCCAUUAGACUUUGAUCUAAUAGUUGAAACUUUACAUAUAAAUGAGUUUUUUUAUAAUUAAACUCGCAUUUAUAUUUUUAUUUUACUAAAAAUUAAAUAAUAAAAAUAUAUAUUAUAUAUAAUUAUUUAUUUAUAUAAAAAUAUUAAAUAAAUUAUAUAAAUAUAAAAUAUAUGUAUUCGAGCUGUUAUCGAGCCGAACACGAGCGAGUUGAUCCCAGCUCCUGUUCGGCUCGUUUAUAAACGAGCUGAAAAAUUCAGCUCGUGUUCGGCUCGUUUACU
rnacentral:lncRNA from 1 species